rnacentral:misc_RNA from 1 species
AAGAACUAGAAGAAAACCCCUAUUCUACGGAAAAAAAAUCUCUUUAUCAUGCUAUCACCACUGCUGAUUUAUGACCAGCUGUAGGGAAGGGACCCACUGGUACUGCUGAUAUCACGGUACCCGACCUAGAUCUCUACUCUUGUUCUAGAUGAGAUCCGGGAAGGAUCUUAUAGGUUCCCCGAUGAUUGCAGCUCCAGCUAAUCCUCUGCCGCAGCCGCAUACGCAUAGCCGACGAUGAGCGCG